UGACCGCUGGCGGCAGGCCUACCACAUGCAAAUCGAGCGGAUGAAGGGAGCUUGCUCCUGGAUUCAGCGGCGGACGGGUGAGUAAUGCCUAGGAAUCUGCCUGGUAGUGGGGGAUAACGUCCGGAAACGGGCGCUAAUACCGCAUACGUCCUGAGGGAGAAAGUGGGGGAUCUUCGGACCUCACGCUAUCAGAUGAGCCUAGGUCGGAUUAGCUAGUUGGUGGGGUAAAGGCCUACCAAGGCGACGAUCCGUAACUGGUCUGAGAGGAUGAUCAGUCACACUGGAACUGAGACACGGUCCAGACUCCUACGGGAGGCAGCAGUGGGGAAUAUUGGACAAUGGGCGAAAGCCUGAUCCAGCCAUGCCGCGUGUGUGAAGAAGGUCUUCGGAUUGUAAAGCACUUUAAGUUGGGAGGAAGGGCAGUAAGUUAAUACCUUGCUGUUUUGACGUUACCAACAGAAUAAGCACCGGCUAACUUCGUG
rnacentral:rRNA from 1 species